AGAUAAUGGUCUAGGGGUAGCCUGAAAAUCAGUACACACUCUUGUUCUUAUUUACCUCGGCACCGCACAAGGCUAGUGCCUACCUGAACCAAAAGUCCCUCAAGGAUAAUUUCACUCAAAAGUGCAUAGUGCUACCAAAUGUGAAUAAAGGUCACCCAUAGACCACUAGCAGGGAAUCUCAUUGAUGGGUUGUGAAUAGUAGCCAUGCCUCUUGUAUUCCCUUUCCUCCUUCCUCUAGAGCAGUGUUUCUCAAUAAGUGUUCCCUAAGAACAAAAUUGGGAUUCCGCGGCGAUUUGCCCGUCGGCUGGCCCAAGCAUUUAGGGCUAUCCGAUGGGUAUCGCUAAAC